rnacentral:rRNA from 1 species
AACGCGAAGAACCUUACCUGGGCUUGACAUCCUGUGAACAUCUAAGAGAUUAGGUUUCCGAGCAAUCGGACACAGAGACAGGUGCUGCAUGGCUGUCGUCAGCUCGUGUCGUGAGAUGUUGGGUUAAGUCCCGCAACGAGCGCAACCCUUAUCCCUAGUUGCCAUCGGGUCAAGCCGGGCACUCUAGUGAAACCGCGCGGGAUAACCGCGAGGAAGGUGGGGAUGACGUCAAGUCCUCAUGGCCUUUAUGUCCAGGGCUACACACGUGCUACAAUGGUCGGUACAAACCGUCGCAAACCCGCGAGGGGGAGCUAAUCGGAAAAAGCCGGCCUCAGUUCGGAUUGGAGUCUGCAACCCGACUCCAUGAAGCUGGAAUCGCUAGUAAUCGCGGAUCAGAACGCCGCGGUGAAUACGUUCCCGGGCCUUGUACACACCGCAUAC